rnacentral:rRNA from 1 species
UACGUAGGGAGCAAGCGUUGUCCGGAAUUACUGGGCGUAAAGGGUGCGUAGGCGGCCAUGCAAGUCAGAUGUGAAAGACCGGGGCUCAACCCCGGGAUUGCAUUUGAAACUGCGUGGCUUGAGUGCAGGAGAGGCAAGUGGAAUUCCUAGUGUAGCGGUGAAAUGCGUAGAUAUUAGGAGGAACACCAGUGGCGAAGGCGACUUGCUGGACUGUAACUGACGCUGAGGCA